UCAAGCUGUAAAGGGCGCAAGGGGAAUGCCUUGGCACUGAGAGCCGACGAAGGACGCGACAAGCUGCGAUAAGCUACGGGGAGCCGCAAAUGGGCUUUGAUCCGUGGAUUUCCGAAUGGGGAAACCCGGCAGAGCAAUACUCUGUCAACGUACACUGAAUACAUAGGUGUACGUGGGGAACCGCCUGAACUGAAACAUCUAAGUAGGGCGAGGAAGAGAAAUCAACCGAGAUUCCGCUAGUAGUGGCGAGCGAACGCGGAAGAGGCCAAACCGGAGGUAGCAAUAUUUCCGGGGUUAGGACUGCAACAUGUAACUUUAAUCUUUAACUGAAUGCUUUGGGAAGAGCAGCGAAACAGGGUGACAGCCCCGUAAGUGAAAGAGAUUGAGUGCUAGCAGUAUCCAGAGUACCAGCGGACACGUGAAACCCGCUGGGAAGAUGGGGGGACCAUCCUCCAAGCCUAAAUACUACUCAGUGACCGAUAGUGGAGCAGUACCGUGAGGGAAAGGUGAAAAGUACCCCGGGAGGGGAGUGAAAGAGAACCUGAAACCUUGUGCCUACAAGCACCGAGAGCACGUUAAAGUGUGAUCGGGUACUUUUUGUAGAACGGUCCGGCGAGUUAAUAUUUGCAGCGAGGUUAAGGAACUGGAGUUCCGGAGCCGCAGCGAGAGCGAGUCUGAAAAGGGCGUAUGAAGUUGCAGGUAUUAGACCCGAAACCGGGUGACCUAUCCAUGAGCAGGCUGAAGCGGUGGUAAGACACCGUGGAGGGCCGCACCCACGUCUGUUGAAAAAGCCGGGGAUGACUUGUGGAUAGCGGAGAAAUUCCAAUCGAACUCGGAGAUAGCUGGUUCUCCCCGAAAUAGCUUUAGGGCUAGCGUUAUUUUAGAUUACCGGAGGUAAAGCACUGAAUGGUCUAGGGGCCGCGAGGUUACCAAAGCCUAUCAAACUCUGAAUGCCGGAUAAUUGAUGAAUAGCAGUCAGACUGUGUGAGAUAAGUCUCAUAGUCAAAAGGGAAACAGCCCAGAUCUACAGCUAAGGUCCCAAAUGAACACUAAGUGGAAAAUGAUGUGAAACUGCGAAGACAACCAGGAUGUUGGCUUAGAAGCAGCCACUCAUUCAAAGAGUGCGUAAUAGCUCACUGGUCGAGUGGUUUUGCGCAGAAAAUGUAACGGGGCUAAGUGUUCAACCGAAGCUUAGGCAUUGCAGUAAUGCAUUGGGUAGGGGAGCGUCGUAUGCGGGGCGAAGUCAGAGCGGAAGCACUGGUGGACUGCAUACGAGUGAGAAUGCCGGAAUAAGUAGCGAGAAUUAUGUGAGAAUCAUAAUGGCCGAAAAUCUAAGGUUUCUUGGGGAAGGUUCGUCCGCCCAAGGUUAGUCGGGAGCUAAGCUCAGGCCGAAAGGCGUAGGCGAUGCACAUACGGUAGAAAUUCCGUAACCACCGAACUUUAAGCUAGAGGGACGCUUUCUUUAAGGUUAUCCCGGGCGAUGGUUGCCCCGGGCGUAAGGGACCGAAAUAUAGUAGGGAAGUAGAUGGCGAGAGAGACGAGAAAAGCUCUAGUGUAUACUAAGGUGCCCGUACCGCAAACCGACACAGGUAGAUGGGAUGAGUAUUCUAAGGCCAACGGGAGAAGGGUUGUUAAGGAACUCGGCAAAUUGGCCCCGUAACUUCGGGAUAAGGGGCGCCUGCGAGAGCAGGCCGCAGUGAAAAGGCCCAAGCGACUGUUUAGCAAAAACACAGCUCUCUGCUAAAUCGAAAGAUGACGUAUAGGGGGUGACGCCUGCCCGGUGCUGGAAGGUUAAGGGGAGUGCUUAGCGCAAGCGAAGGUGCGAACUUAAGCCCCAGUAAACGGCGGCCGUAACUAUAACGGUCCUAAGGUAGCGAAAUUCCUUGUCAGGUAAGUUCUGACCCGC
rnacentral:rRNA from 1 species